UGAAUGCGUGUAAAAAUAAAAUGUGCUU
rnacentral:sRNA from 1 species